CCUACGGGAGGCAGCAGUAGGGAAUUUUCGGCAAUGGGGGGAACCCUGACCGAGCAACGCCGCGUGAACGAAGAAGUCAUUCGUAAUGUAAAGUUCUUUUAACAGGGAAGAAAGAGAAAUUUGACGGUACCUGAUGAAUAUGCUCCGGCUAACUACGUGCCCGCAGCCGCGGUAAUACGGAGGUGGCAAGCGGUGUCCGGAUUUACUGGGUGUAAAGGGCGUGCAGCCGGGAAGACAAGUCAGAUGUGAAAUCCCGCGGCUCAACCGCGGAACUGCAGUUGAAACUGUCUUUCUUGAGUGCCGGAGAGGUAAUCGGAAUGCGUUGUGUAGCGGUGAAAUGCGUAGAUAUAAGGAAGAACACCAGUGGCGAAGGCGGAUGACUGGACGGCAACUGACGGUGAGGCGCGAAAGCGUGGGGAGCAAACAGGAUUAGAUACCCCUGUAGUC
rnacentral:rRNA from 1 species